rnacentral:pre_miRNA from 1 species
AAAGUACUCCCUCCGUCCCAAAAUUCUUGUCUUAGAUUUGUCUAGAUACAGAUGUAUCAAGUCACAUUUUAGUAUUAGAUACAUCCGUAUCUAGACAAAUCUAAGACAAGAAAUUUGGGACAGAGGGAGUAGUUC